rnacentral:rRNA from 1 species
UAGUGGCAGACGGGAUAGUAACGCGUGGGAAUUUGACCAAUAGUACGGAAUAACUGCGGGAAACUGCAGCUAAUACCGUAUACGCCCUCCGGGGGAAAGAUUUAUCGCUAUUGGAUAAGCCCGCGUCGAAUUAGCUUGUUGGUGAGGUAAUGGCUCACCAAGGCGACGAUUCGUAGCUGGUCUGAGAGGACGAUCAGCAUCACUGGGACUGAGACACGGCCCAGACUCC